rnacentral:tRNA from 1 species
UUAAUUGAAGCCAAAUCAGAGGCAUAUCACUGUUAAUGAUAAAAAUGAACUUCUAAGUUCCAAUUAAG